rnacentral:misc_RNA from 1 species
AGGAGCACCAUUUCAUUCCCCCGUCCCCGGCGUGUGUCGGGAUCAGUGCGGUUGGGAUAUCAGUGCCGGCGCCUGUAGUGGGCGAUCCGGUCGGUGCACAACAAAUUUCUGACCUGUAUGCCUGCGUGGAAAGCCGUGGGUGGGUUGGCGGAUCAUCGAACACACUGUUGGGUCCUGAGGCAACACCCGCUGUUGUCCCAACCUGUUGGGGUUGGGGUGGGGUUGUCGCCCUGCUUGGUGGUGGGGUGUGGUGUUUGAUUUGUGGAUAGUGGUUGCGAGCAUCUUUAGCAAAUUAACUGAUUGUUGUCAGUGUUUUGUUGAGUGUUUUUUUGUGU